CCGCCCAUAGCUCAAUUGGAUAGAGCAUCCGCCUUCUAAGCGGAAGGUUCCAGGUUCGAGCCCUGGUGGGCGGACCA
rnacentral:tRNA from 3 species